GUACACAGAGAAGUCUGUGUGGUGCAUAUCGUUGGCCUUUGGAAUUAUACCAGACCCGUCACCUAUUUAUCUAUUAUGUAGAGAGCGUACAUGCAGAAAAUAACAUGUGACCAUCGUGCCACUGUGGGACAGAGAGUAGACAUGUAUAUAUGCUUACGUGCUGUAUGUAUGCCGUACUAAAUGACUUCACAUGUAUACACAGUCGCCUAUAAUAUAUAUAUAUAUACCAGUGAGUACUUAUUAUACAUCUAAAAGGGAAGCUUUGAGGGAUAGGUUAUCGUCUUAGUCUGCAUGCUAGGACAUAAUGUUUGUUUCCAUAUCAGCACAACCCACAGUUAUUUCCUCUUCGACCAAACUGUACUUGUGAAGAAGCUGCAAUUAAGGUGCGCCACACUGGCCUCUCAUUAGGCCAUUUAAUACGGCCUUGGGUUCGUGUAAACGCUGUAGGCCUAUGCACCACAAGGAAGCUUGUACCCUGGAGUUCGAGCAUUUCACAGCUGGUGUAGGCCAUAUAUGGAUUUCUGAUCACUCCGGUGGUGUGAAAAUGUAGUACCUGCUUUUCUCACAGUUUCCGUGUGGAAAUUUUGUUCUGUUCCUUGUCAACAUUUGAACGUGUACAUGGCCUGGAGAUUACCGUUUUAAUGUGGAGAUGUGACGUUCUGGAAGCUGCGCCAUGAAAAUACAUGGGCUAAUCCAUGGUUGUAUACACACAGUCUAAUUUUGUGGUGAAGGCACAUUUAAUUAUUCCUGACAAUAUCUCUGCCUGUGUACCACAUAUAUACUGUUAUGUAGGAAUAUACCAUACUGGAAGGUGACCCGCUCGCCUCAUCGGAUCGAGAGAUAGCAGUUCAGAGUCACAAACGGAAGCAGCAAAAUUGCACAGCAGCCAGAAAAUACCGCGCCAAGAAAAAAGAAAUGGAAAAGUCUCUGAAAGAUGACCUGUCUAGCCUCAAAUCGAAAAACAUCGCCCUGAUCAGAGAGAAGGAGCAACUGACUGCUUCUGUGAAGUACCUAAGGCAGCUGCUGAAAGACCACGCCCACUGCCACGUGUCCCCACCGCUCCCCGUGCAUUGUCAGCACACCACGCGCUAGUAAACCGCCAUGUAGUCACAUAACCACAAGUAUAUGCAUACCAAAGACGUUCAUUUGAACGGGCAGUCAUCACACUUCUACGGCUAUUCAUUCGAUCAAUAGCCUACAUCCAGUCAUCGGGUCGAGAGAUUUUUCCGUGCAAUGUUCAGUAUUUUUGUUAAGUUUAUUCCAGGCCAGCUUGUCGAGAUUGUGCAUGCUGUAGUAUAUAUACUAUAUAACGCUAUGGUAUAAUUCCUUUUGUGAAGUACAUUCGUGGUUACAAACAGACAAUUAUGCUUAGCCAAAGAAAUUAAAUUUUUAUCCUGCUUACUUUGCCAUGCUUUAUUCUCGACGCAGUGGAAUCUGGUCGAAGCUGAACAUAAUUGUUUUAUUAUGCAUCGUAAUCUUAAAUAUUGUCGGUGCUUUGGUUUGAAUUCAAGGAGAUAUGCACAGAAAACGCGUUUAUGUCAUUAAGUAUCUAAGUACUUAAGUCAAAUCUAGGCCUGUGUAUCCCUUCCCAUCUGACCGCCGAGUUUUUCAGGCGGACGCGGACCUUUUCACGACUGACAGCCGCUAUAACUACACGUCCGUUUCAUUGCUGAGCAAGUCGCUUUUCUUUAUCCUCUGAUUGCGUGGUGUUUAUGUAGUCAUCUAGUAUAUCAGGUGAUUCGGAACGGAGGGGUUACCAGUCACCAUAUGUAUUUGCUAGGAGCCCGUCAUUAAACAAAUAAAUGUCAAACAAAUAAAAUAUUCUAAAAAUCAUCUGUUAUAUGAAAGUCCAUGCAAUUUGGAUGUCAUGUGUGUAUGAUAGGAGAGGUGUUUUUCAUACUUACUUUACAUAAGUGGCAUGUCUUUUUCUCAACCUAAAAAGAUCUCUAUAUAACAUCUUAUAUAAAUAUAGACUAGAUAAAGAAUGUACGGAAUAUUUUACGAAGAUAAUGUAAUGCUUAUAAACUGAAUAUGCAAUGCAAUAUAAUUUAUAAUGUAAGAAACACCUUACAUGUAUCUCUAUCGUAAGAUUAUCAGAAAUAAUAAUUUUAACGUCAAGUCCUCUGCAGCUGCAGCGAAAUAUAUAUCACUGGGUAUGUAUGUAAGAAGUGGUCAGCAUUUUAUGUGCAUAUCUGUACGGUUGUCCUACUAUAACAUAAACGUCAACUUUAACUAAAUUUAUUAAUUACAUUAGACUUAGCUAGAGCUGAAUUUAUUAAUUACAUUU